rnacentral:sRNA from 1 species
GAAGACCUACAAACAGCCAACAAAUGUGAGAAAAAGCUCAACAUCACAAAUCAUCACAGAAAUGCAAAUCAAAACCACAAUGAGAUACCAUCUCU